GCAAAACAAGUAUUAAAGGUAUCGACUGCCCAGUGAAAUUUUUAAACGGCCGCGGUAUUCUAACCGUGCAAAGGUAGCGCAAUCACUUGUCUUCUAAAUAAAGACCUGUAUGAACGGCUAAAUGAGGACAAACCUGUCUCCUGUGACCAAUCAGUGAAACUGAUCUCCCAGUACAAAAGCUGGGAUAGACCCAUAAGACGAGAAGACCCUGUGGAGCUUAAAACCACCCACUAAUAAAUGGCCUACACACCCAGUUUUAGUGAAAGGUUUUGAGUUGGGGCGACUUCGGAACAAAAGAAAACUUCCGAGCACAGAACCACCACUUCUCACCAAGGCCAACAAGCCAAAGCAAAAUCCGAUCCAGUCACACUGAUCAACGAACCAAGUUACCCCAGGGAUAACAGCGCUAUCUUCUUCAAGAGUCCAUAUCGACAAGAAGGUUUACGACCUCGAUGUUGGAUCAGGACACCCAAAUGGUGCAGCCGCUAUUAAAGGUUCGUUUGUUCAACGAUUAACAGUC
rnacentral:rRNA from 1 species